AGGCAGCCCUCUUGCGAAUGAACAUGGCAGGGGAGGUGUUAUUCUGCUCGCAUAUCUAUUCUUUUGCUCUUCAGAUUUGCUGAGUUGGGUUAUCGUAUAAGCCCUACGCUGAAGCUGGUCUAGUAAGCCUAAGUACAUU
rnacentral:snoRNA from 1 species